CUACGGGUGGCUACAGUGGGGAAUAUUGGACAAUGGGCGAAAGCCUGAUCCAGCAAUGCCGCGUGAGUGAUGAAGGCCUUAGGGUUGUAAAGCUCUUUUACCCGGGAUGAUAAUGACAGUACCGGGAGAAUAAGCUCCGGCUAACUCCGUGCCAGCAGCCGCGGUAAUACGGAGGGAGCUAGCGUUGUUCGGAAUUACUGGGCGUAAAGCGCGCGUAGGCGGCUUUUCAAGUCAGGGGUGAAAUCCCGGGGCUCAACCCCGGAACUGCCCUUGAAACUGGAUGGCUAGAAUACUGGAGAGGUGAGUGGAAUUCCGAGUGUAGAGGUGAAAUUCGUAGAUAUUCGGAAGAACACCAGUGGCGAAGGCGACUCACUGGACAGUUAUUGACGCUGAGGUGCGAAAGCGUGGGGAGCAAACAGGAUUAGAUACCCUCGUAGUC
rnacentral:rRNA from 1 species